UGCCCAGACUCCUACGGGAGGCAGCAGUGGGGAAUAUUGCACAAUGGGGGAAACCCUGAUGCAGCGACGCCGCGUGAAGGAAGAAGUAUUUCGGUAUGUAAAGCUCUAUCAGCAGGGAAGAAAAUGACGGUACCUGACUAAGAAGCCCCGGCUAACUACGUGCCAGCAGUCGCGGUAAUACGUAGGGGGCAAGCGUUAUCCGGAUUUACUGGGUGUAAAGGGAGCGUAGACGGCGAUGCAAGCCAGAUGUGAAAGCCCGGGGCUCAACCCCGGGACUGCAUUUGGAACUGUAUAGCUAGAGUGUCGGAGAGGCAGGCGGAAUUCCUAGUGUAGCGGUGAAAUGCGUAGAUAUUAGGAGGAACACCAGUGGCGAAGGCGGCCUGCUGGACGAUGACUGACGUUGAGGCUCGAAAGCGUGGGGAGCAAACAGGAUUAGAUACCCUUGUAU
rnacentral:rRNA from 1 species